GACGAGGGAUCCUAGCGUUGUUCGGAAUCAUUGGGCGUAAAGGGUGCGUAGGUGGCUAUGUAAGUCAGUUGUGAAAGCCCAGGGCUCAACCCUGGAAGUGCUUCUGAUACUGCGUAGCUUGAAUAUUGGAGAGGUGAGUGGAAUUCCAGGUGUAGUGGUGAAAUACGUAGAUAUCUGGAGGAACACCGGCGGCGAAGGCGGCUCACUGGCCAUGUACUGACGCUCAGGGGCGAAAGCGUGGGGAGCAAAGCCGG
rnacentral:rRNA from 1 species